AGCAGCCGCGGUAAUACGUAGGGUGCGAGCGUUGUCCGGAAUUACUGGGCGUAAAGAGCUCGUAGGUGGUUUGUCGCGUUGUUCGUGAAAUCUCACGGCUUAACUGUGAGCGUGCGGGCGAUACGGGCAGACUAGAGUACUGCAGGGGAGACUGGAAUUCCUGGUGUAGCGGUGGAAUGCGCAGAUAUCAGGAGGAACACCGGUGGCGAAGGCGGGUCUCUGGGCAGUWACUGACGCUGAGGAGCGAAAGCGUGGGGAGCGAACAGGAUUAGAUACCCUGGUAGUCCACGCCGUAAACGGUGGGUACUAGGUGUGGGUUUCCUUCCUUGGGAUCCGUGCCGUAGCUAACGCAUUAAGUACCCCGCCUGGGGAGUACGGCCGCAAGGCUAAAACUCAAAGGAAUUGACGG
rnacentral:rRNA from 1 species